CGCACUUCUCAUUCUUUUGGUUAAGAUCAAAUGCAGUAUCAGUUCUUAUCAGUUUAAUACCUGAUAGGUCCUCUAUCUGAGUACAAUAUAUUAAAUGGAUUUUUGGAGCUGGGAGGUGGAAUGUUAGCUUGCUCCAUCCACCCCAUGCAUCGACCUGGCAUUGCAGUACCUACAGGAACAGAGCACCCCUC
ensembl:snRNA U2 U2 spliceosomal RNA